UAGGGAAUCUUCGGCAAUGGGGGGAACCCUGACCGAGCAACGCCGCGUGAGUGAAGAAGGUUUUCGGAUCGUAAAGCUCUGUUGUUAAGGAAGAACGAGUGUGAGAAUGGAAAGUUCAUGCUGUGACGGUACUUAACCAGAAAGGGACGGCUAACUACGUGCCAGCAGCCGCGGUAAUACGUAGGUCCCGAGCGUUGUCCGGAUUUAUUGGGCGUAAAGCGAGCGCAGGCGGUUAGAAAAGUCUGAAGUGAAAGGCAGUGGCUCAACCAUUGUAGGCUUUGGAAACUGUUUAACUUGAGUGCAGAAGGGGAGAGAGGAAUUCCAUGUGUAGCGGUGAAAUGCGUAGAUAUAUGGAGGAACACCGGUGGCGAAAGCGGCUCUCUGGUCUGUAACUGACGCUGAGGCUAGAAAGCGUGGGGAGCGAACAGG
rnacentral:rRNA from 1 species